rnacentral:rRNA from 1 species
UACCCACGCCACAAGUGGCAGUCGCUAUUAUUGGGCCUAAAGCGUUCGUAGCAGGUUUUGUAAAUCUCUUGUGAAAUUGUUGUGCUUAACAUAAC